rnacentral:rRNA from 1 species
UACAGAGGGGGCAAGCGUUAUUCGGAAUUACUGGGCGUAAAGGGCUCGUAGGCGGCCAACUAAGUCGGACGUGAAAUCCCUCGGCUUAACCGGGGAACUGCGUCCGAUACUGGAUGGCUUGAGUUCGGGAGAGGGAUGCGGAAUUCCAGGUGUAGCGGUGAAAUGCGUAGAUAUCUGGAGGAACACCGGUGGCGAAGGCGGCAUCCUGGACUGACACUGACGCUGAGGAGCGAAAGCCAGGGGAGCAAACGGG